rnacentral:rRNA from 1 species
GUGUCAGCAGCCGCGCGGUAAUACGAAGGGCUCGAGCGUUAAUCAGAAUCACUGGGCUUAAAGCGUACGCAGGCGGGCGCGCAGGCAUCUUGUGAAAUCCCUCGGCUCAACCGAGGAACUGCUUGGUGAACCGCGCGUCUUGAGGCAAGUAGGGGCUGUCGGAACGCUAGGUGGAGUGGUGAAAUGCGUUGAUAUCUAGCGGAACGCCAAAGGAGAAAUCAGACAGCUGGGCUUGUCCUGACGCUGAGGUACGAAAGCGUGGGUAGCGAACGGGAUUAGAUACCCCGGUAGUCCACGCCGUAAACGAUGUGCACUAGAUCGAGGAGGUUCUGACACCAUUCUUGGUCGAAGCGAAAGUGUUAAGUGCACCGCCUGGGGAGUACGGUCGCAAGGCUAAAACUCAAAGGAAUUGACGGGGGCUCACACAAGCGGUGGAGCAUGUGGCUUAAUUCGAAGCAACGCGAAGAACCUUAUCCUGGGUUUGACAUGCACGGAUUAGCCUGCUGAAAGGCAGGUGACACCUUCGGGUGGAACGUGCACAGGCGCUGCAUGGCUGUCGUCAGCUCGUGCUGUGAAGUGUCGGGUUAAGUCCCUUAACGAGCGCAACCCCUGUCGCUAGUUGCCAGCGCGUCAUGGCGGGGACUCUAGCGAGACUGCCGGCGUCAAGUCGGAGGAAGGUGGGGAUGACGUCAAGUCCGCAUGGCCUUUAUGCCCAGGGCUGCACACGUGCUACAAUGGCGGGUACAGAACGACGCAAUACCGCGAGGUGGAGCAAAUCGCUCAAAACCCGCCCCAGUUCGGAUUGCAGGCUGCAAUUCGCCUGCAUGAAGUUGGAAUCGCUAGUAAUCGCGGAUCAGCUACGCCGCGGUGAAUACGUUCCUGAGCCUUGUACACACCGCCCGUCAAGUCAUGGAAGCUGGCAGCGCCCGAAGUCGCCGCGAUUCAGCGGUGCCCACGGGCGAGGCUGGUGACUGGGACUAAGUCGUAACAAGGUAACCAAUCCAUAUG